UCACUCAAAACCUCAGUGUCCGUGUCUGUCCCUCCGAUUGUCCAAAGCUUUAAAGGAGACAUGGUUAUCUUACCAUGUUUGACAGAAGAGAAGCCGGACAAUGUAUUUUGGCGAUUUGGAGAAACCAGGACCGUGUGUAUCAUCAGUAAUGGUGAAGCAGAUUUUGAGGAACAGGAUUCAGCCUUUAAAAACAGAGUGGGAAUUUUUUCAUCAGAAAUUCCACUGGGAAAUUUCUCCAUCAAGCUGAAAAGCGUGAGCAAAACUGAUGAAGGACUGUUCACCUGCUACGCCCCUAGUAAACAUUUUUAUCAGGAAGUAUAACUGAAGGUCAAAGAGAAACCAGGAAGUGGUCAAAAUAAGUCACAAGUGGACGGCAUGAUGUUCCUGCUAGGAUGUGUUCUGCUCUACAGCUUCAGCUUCUGAAGAAACCCCUCAGCACAGCGUGUGCACCAACAUCAGCUUUCAGUAUCACAGGGAUUCCCUGUACAGGUUUCUGUUACAUGUGUUUGUAUAAUUGUGUGUAAGAUUUGCACCAUCGUUCCCAGUGGUAUUAAUAAAGCAGUGUACUAAGUCAGAUAUCAAUACUAUUACUAAACCUGAUCAGAUAUGCAGAAGAUCAUUGUGGUUUUUGUGCUGCAGCAGUUUUACUUCCUAACACAUUACUGCAUUUAUGUUGGUGUAAACGAGUCAACAUCAAUCAAUUUUCUAACCACCAGCUGAGUUUCCAUAUCGGUUUCUCCUCCUGUCCACCAUGAACAUGAAUCUGAGGCCACAGUGAGCACAGUUUUAUCCAAACUGUACAGAUCAGAAGCCAUUCCCUCUGUUCUCACACAGAACUUCUGCUUCCUGAUAUCUUCAAAUCUCAUAACUACUCCACAGUUUCUCCCGAACCCUCUCAUCUACACUGAACUUAGUGACAUAUUGCACUAUAACCUCCAUUACCAAGAGCUUCAGCAAUGUUAAGCCGAUCUGCUUAAAUAUCCAAAAUAUCAGUUCAUGAAAAUCUCCAGUAGUAAACAUACACACGUCCAUAAAUAUUCAGACAGGUUAAGUGUAUUUCCAGCCUUUCAAUCAAAGUAAACUUGUAGUUCAAUUUAAAUCAUGAAUGAGCUUUUCAGCGUUUUAACAUUUCACCAAAUCAGAGGAACGGUGUAGGAACUACAGCACGUUAUAUCAGAGCUCUAGUUCUCCUUUUUUAAAGGAUCAAAAGUAAAUGAAUGAAAUAUCAAUCAAAAGUAAAACUGCCAGGAGUCGGGUUUCUUCAUUGGAGAUGAUCUACCAGGUCUUACCUUUAGCUGUAUUCAUAUGAUCUGGAUGCUCGUUGCCUUGCAAGACGUUUUGUGUUAAUUUCCAAGUAUGUUUCAGGUUAAUGUUCUGUCCAACCAGUUUUGAUGCAUUCCAAAUAAAAAAGCUAAAUGUGAGCAGAAAUCAUCAUCUUUCAGCAGUCACAUCGAUCAAUACAAGGCAGUACUGGUUCUACU